rnacentral:lncRNA from 1 species
UGACCUAGCAAGUCUGAAUGCACUUUCUCAUUUUUCUCAUAUUUUCACAUUUAUCUCUCCUUCAUUCAGAAGCAUUUGUCAAUCUGCCUCUAUCCAUGGCAGCCCUUCUUAUUUUAAUGUUCUCACUCUUACCCACAAACUAAAUUUACAUUUCUUGCUGUUAUAAAUUUUAUAUUUUUGUGUGUGGAGAAACAUUCCAUCAAGAAGACUGAAGCCCAGUAAACUCCCAAAGACAAGACUUUCAGAAGGUCUGAAGACAAGUCACAUCAAACCACUGACCUAAGAAAAAUGGAAUUAAUGUUGCAACUGCAUUCUCCUAACUUCUCACUGGACUUGAGAUGGCUGCUUGCUUCACUAUGGGUCCUAAGGUUACACAGGAAGGCUUCUGCCAGACACUUUCUGCCAGGUUUCCAAUGGCAGGUAUGGUCAAGAGAGACACUGGAAGAUGGAAGUUACUUCAGUGUUCCAGUUGCUGGUGUAGCCAGGGCUUCACAGGGGGAAAAGGCACUGCAUCCAA